ACACACACACACACGGUUCGUUAUCUCCGCUCCAAACCCUCGGCUGCCUACAUGAACAGCAUUUUAAGGCAUCGUACGGCAACAUGUUCUUGACGAAUGAAGGGAUGUUCUCCAUCAUCUACAGCAGUGAAUUCAGAGUUUUCAGAGAGCAGACUGAAGGAUGAUUAGAUGAAACUGAUAUUCCUUAAAGAAGAGUUUGCAGUUGGCAGAACAGACUGGCUUUGAAAUUGAAAAGGCGUCCGGCCGCUUCACUACUGGAGAGAAGAAAAGAAAGAGAACGAGCUGGAGUUGAAGAGCUGAAUCGGGGUCUGUCGCUCCAGCGCUGAAUCCGCUCACACAGUCACUCCGAACACAAUGACUUCAUGCAACAUUACAAUCCAAUCUCUGCAAAUACGACAUCAAAGCGAAAACGUAACAAGAUGUGAAAUUUAAACUCGCUCGUAUUUACCGGCAGACAACGGCUUCAUUUCUCACUCGGGGCGUUAAAGAAAGAAAGACCUCGGCGAACAACGAACCGAAACAAACGGAGCGCCGCGGCGGGAUGAAAUGAGAGUUUCCUCCUUCGGUUUGUGAGCCAUGAGCGACGACUGACAGACCCGUGACCUCUAAUGAGCAACACGCGCAAGAAAUCCCACCUGCGCUGAUGAAACCCAGCUUCAUUUCCACUCGCUCACAUGAUCUUCAGUGUGUUUUGUAGGAUCUCAGUGAGCUGCAGUGCUGUCUACAUAGGCAGCUGUCUUCCAAGGCAGCGUCCUAAAUUUCAUUAGUGACUUAAUUAGCGCUCCUAUUCAUGUGAAAGCUGUUUUGAUUUGGUCUAGUAAACAGCCACCUAGCAACCGCCCAGUGACACCUUAGCAACCACCCGUAGGAUCACGACAGCUUUGCACAGGGAUGAAAACUCAUAUUUUCAUUAAAUGCAAAAAUCUGGUUAAACUCAGCAAUUUUGGGUCGACACAAAGUGACAUAUAGUUAAUUCAAUAUAUUUAUAGAUAUAUUAUUUUUUAAAGUAGGAGUAGGAAAAGUGUGCACUACGUUUUCCAAUACAAAUAUUUAAACGUUUUUAAAUCAAGACAAAUUUAUUUCAGAAGCGAAAUUACACAAGAUAAUGUCUUGUUUUCUGAAAAAAUGUAUCAAAAUUAAAUCGUCGUUAAGUCUACGAUUUUAUGCUUAAAACUGUAGGAAAUAUAUGCUAACGGAGUGAGAAAAAAAUAUAGAAAUUGGUCUUGUUUUAUGGAUUAUUUUUCAUGGAUCUCAAAAACAUGAAACUGAGAAACUAUUCACAUAAAAAUGUACAACCAAUUUUAA